AUACCCCUCCUCUGUAGGCAGAGACACUCAGUUUCGUUGUGUCCUCAGGAGGUUAGGACCGUCUCCUGCAUUCAGGAGUAUUUUACUAUUUAUUUUGCUCUUUUAUUUUUAUUUCAUUACAAUUCUUCACAUGAUAUGGAGCUGGACAGCUACACUGAGUAGUCUGAUCCAUUACUUGAGGAUGUCACCGGGGUCUCUUGUGCUGUGCACUGACCAUCCAGCAUUGAUUCCCUCCCUCUGACAUACAGAGAGAGGAUGCGCUGGCCGGGACACUGGGCUGAGGUAUAGCCAGGUUCAUCCUGUUGCUCAAUCCUCCUUAUAUGCCCCAAGGAUCCCUACACUACAGUCUGGGAACUCCUGCCGUGGCUCAUUUAAGGAACAGCUUGUGUACACCAUGUCUGAAGGUACAGGUGAUAACCUUUUUUCCAGGCCAGCAACUACUUCAUCGGUUAAGUAUUUAGCUUGUGCCAAAUGCCGCAUCUGGUCACAAGGACCCUCUGUGUUCCACGUGCAAGCCACCUGAUGCAGUUUCGGAAAUGUCAGAACUCCGUCCUCAGGUAAGCCAAGCCUCCCAUGGGGACCCAUCAGGCCAGCCCCGGGACUCCACCCCCCUGGACCCCCAGCCUCCCCCAGAAUGGGCAUCUAAGCUUGCCGCCGGCAUUCCUAAAUUGGUGGAGUCCCGUGGCUAGAUAAGCUUCGGCCUAAGCCUCCAAAAUGUAGAGCCCCCUCUCCUUCCGAGGAUGAGUGUGAGGCGGAGUCCAUCAUUACUUCAUCCCUGCCACCUGACUCCGAGGAGGAUCCGGCUCUGUCUGAUGGUGAACUAUCUCACAGUUCCGACCCAGAGUAAGGGGAAUCCCCCCAAACUGUCCUCCGAGGCUAUUGAUUCCCUCAUUUCAGUAUUAGAGACCCUUCACUUAAAGGAGCCUGAACCUAGUUGCAGUACCUCCUUGUUUAAGUGCCGCAGCAGGUCCUCACCUUCCUUUCCUCUCUCAUGCUCAACUCGAGCAAAUUAUACAACAGGAAUGGUUCAAGCCAGAGGGAUGUUUCCAGGCUAACCGCCGUUUUUCUCAAACUAUAUCCUUUUCCACAGGAACUAACGGAAAAGUGGACCUCCCCACCUUCAGUGGACGCGCCUGUCUCUCGACUAUCUAAGGACACUGCUUUACCAGUUCCUGAUGCAGCCUCCUUCAAGGACUCCAUGGACAAGAAGCUUGAGGGCAUUCUAAGUUCCCUCUUCUCUGCUUCAGGUACCUCCCUUCGGCCUGUUCUAGACUCGGCUUGGGUAAGUAGAGCCGUCCAAACUUGGUCGGACGCCUUAUGCCGAGCGAUUGCCACAAGGGUCCCCCGUGAAGAACUCGCUCAUUUGGCCUCGCAAAUCAAGGAGGCUGACUACCUAUGUGAAGCCUCCCUCGAUGUGCUACAGGUGAUUAGCAGAACUUCAGCCGACUUGACUUGUCGGUAUCGGUUCGCAGAUCUCUCUGGAUGAAACUGCGGACUUGUCUUCAA